CUAGACUCUGAAGGGCCAUGCUCUGGGGAAGGGAUGGCGGAGGACCCUGUCGGGCCUGUCCUUGCCUAGGGUUUACCCAAGGCCUUGAACAGUGCCUGCCAUGUGAUGAGGGAGCUCAACAGGCGUCUGUCAAGUUCAUGAAAAUGUAAUAGACACGCCAGUUGCUGCUUUGCCAGGCACAUGGCUCCUUCUAAAGACAGGCGCUCUGCCCCACAGGGAGACCCCAGGUCUCUGUCUGUGGCUGGUCCCAGCUGACCUAAGGGUGGCCCAUCAAGGCACAUCAACCUGAGGUGUGGUCUGGGAUAAGGAAUGACAUAGGGCAAAUGGGUUCUGCUUCUCAGAAGGUGGAUCUGGGAAGUACUGAGCAUGAGGUGAUUAGCGUCGGGGGUUGAAGCUAAAAAGAUCACCAGAAAGAAAAGGGAGAGGAUGAAACGGCAUCUUGGCGCUUUUGCUGAACAAGGCAACACUGGGUCUGUCUGACCCGAGGACACUACAACACAGCAGGACCCAAAUGGAGCAACCCACCUGGACUUUCACCUGUCAGGGAAAAGCACCUCAUUGAGCACAUGGCCAGGGAGGCUGAUGGGGCUGGAAGGCAGGAACCAUACACCUGCCUUCCAGGUGACUAGGAAGAUCUGCUGCCACCACCUCUUGGGGUCAUUGAGCCCCCAGCCCACACCACAGGCUAAGGGAGGCCGCUUGUCAUGCUGACAUCCAUUUCAGGUACCCAAAAGAAAGAAGGGGUUGCAGGGGAGGGGCACAGUCAUCUGCACACCAAAAAAAACCAGUUGCUGGCUCUGCUCCUUUCCGGCUCUGCGCUGACCUCUCUAUCCAGGCCUCACUCGGGCCACAGCCCAGCUCCAUGAAGCCCUGCCUGGCCCUCUCAGGCACAAUCAACUGCUCCCUCAUCUGACCAGCCCUUAUGCCCAUCCUCGCUGGCUGGCCACCGCACUACGCUAACUCAAACUGUAUCUGUUCCCUGGCCAGGGUGGGGUGUUCCCGGCAGUCUCCUCUAAUGAGCCCGACCCCACCGCAGCUCUCUGGGAGGGUUCCUGGGCAGACUGCACCUUGGCUGAGCCAGUAAGUGGAACCCACCCCUUCCCAUGCCCUGCUUUGACCCAGAUCAAGGAUCAGCUCCCGUGAGCUCUUCUCUGAAGAAUUUUCGUCCUGUUCAUCUCUGUGGUGACAUCAUGUCCAAUAAGCUUCUCUUGCAGAAGAUGGGCAUGGGGUGGGGUGAGGGCAAGAGGGCCAAAACAGGCUGCGGGAGCCAGGCCUGGGAAGGAGGAGCUGGGGGCCAGGGGCGGGGAUGUGGGAAAUGGGGGCAGGCCUCGGGAUAAGGAAGGGGAAGGCUGGCUUCCUGGCCCCUUGCUGGCCAGACACACUGUCCUGGAGCUCUGAGCAGCUUUAAAUCACACCCACCAGGAAUUAGUGUUCAGGGAAAAAUGAACCCGCAGGUGCUGGGGUUUGGAACCAUGCCAUGUGAAGAGGCCUCCUUCUAAGACUGCUGAGUCAGGUGACCUUGAGGACAUCUCACAUGGAGAGGGUGGGGUGCAGUGUGUAAAGCUGUGCCUAAUGGAUGCCAGCGUGUGGAGGAGGGCCCAAUGGGCAGGUGGUGGUCAGGACUGUGAAUGGGGGACCCAGCUCCUGGUCAUAGGUAUGUGCAGGCAUCUGCCGUAGGACUCUGGUGGAUGGGAGAGGCAGGUCCAGGUGUAUUUAAAUUUCUUUCUGACCCUGCCUAAUUAUUUCUCCCAAUUACUCUUGCUUUGAGCCUGGCCCAAGGUUGUCCUUUGAUCAAGACUUCCAUGCUUCCCAAUGCUAAUCUGCCAAUCAUAAGCGUCCCGGGUUUCUCUUGCUGCCUGGAUGUUAACCAUGAGUCCUCUGGGUUAACAGGUGCCAGGGCCCAGUGAGAGUGCUGCGGGAGACCUGCCCAGGGGGCUAGCCGAGCCUUCUGCGAUAAUUCUGACUGAUUCUUCAUGGAGUUGACUUGAAAUAUGAUGAGUGGGUCCCGCGUGCUCUUAAAACCUCGGAUGUCAGAGCCACAGA